CUGGCCACUCCACAGCCUCCCAGGAGGCGAUCUAGCUCCUGCCGCUCAGCAGCUGUAGGAGGCGGCCGGCCAGGGGACUCAGCAGCUGGCUCUGUGGUUUACUGACUUUUACUGUACUAGCAUGUAAGCUCCAUGAUAGCAAGGACCUCAUUUGUUUGGAAUCCUCACUCUUGGUACAGGGCCUGGCAUGUAGGAGGUGUGCUACACGAAUGAGAGAACCCUGGCCACAGAGGGAACUGCUUCUCUGGCACAUUCCCACACAGGCUGCUCACCGGCGCUGGGAGGGCUGCAGUUCUGUGGCCACCUUGUCCUCACAGAAUUUCCGCAUGGUAAGAAAGAAGAGACACAGACACACAGGGAGGAUGCCGUGUGAUGAUGGAGGCAGAGGCUGGAGCGAUGCCCUGCAAGCCAAGGGACACCCAGGAUUGCUGGCCACCACCAGAAGCCAGGGAGAGGGCAAGGAAGGAGUCUAUCGAGAGUCUCAGAGGGAGUAUGGCCCUGCUGACACCUUGAUCUUGAAUUUCUAGCCUUCAGAACCGUAAGACAAUACAUUUCUACUGUUUUAAGCCAACAGUUUGUGGUACUUUGUUGUGGUAGCCCUAGGACACUAAUACAGAUUAGUUGCUGGGGACUGUGGUAAAGUACAUGUGAUUAAAAGGAAGUGGAAAUGCCAGGCUUACAGCAAAGGGCUCCCAGAACAAACAAGUGGGCUCCAGGGGAGAUGGGUUCAUAAAGGCCCAGCUGGAGAAAGGGCUACUGGGGAAGAGGCUACUCAGGUGCUGGGGAA